rnacentral:rRNA from 1 species
GAAGCCCCNGCUAACUACGUGCCAGCAGCCGCGGUAAUACGUANGGGGCAAGCGUUGUCCGGAUUCACUGGGCGUAAAGCGCGCGCAGGCGGUGAUGUAAGUCUGAGGUGAAAACCCGAAGCUCAACUUCGGGACUGCCUUNGGAUACUGCGUCACUUGAGGAUAGGAGAGGCAAGGGGAAUUCCACGUGUAGCGGUGAAAUGCGUAGAGAUGUGGAGGAACACCUGUGGCGAAGGCGCCUUGCUGGCCUNNNCUGACGCUGAGGCGCGAAAGCGUGGGGAGCAAACAGGAUUAGAUACCCUGGUAGUCCACGCUGUAAACGAUGAGUGCUAGGUGUAGGUGGGCUCAUACCCAUCUGUGCCGAAGCUAACGCAUUAAGCACUCCGCCUGGGGAGUACGGUCGCAAGACUGAAACUCAAAGGAAUUGACGGGGGCCCGCACAAGCAGUGGAGCAUGUGGUUUAAUUCGAAGCAACGCGAAGAACCUUACCAGGACUUGACAUCCCAUAGACCAGUCUAGAGAUAGACUUUCCCUUCGGGGCUGUGGUGACAGGUGGUGCAUGGUUGUCGUCAGCUCGUGUCGUGAGAUGUUGGGUUAAGUCCCGCAACGAGCGCAACCCUUACUUUGUGUUGCCAGCAUUCAGUUGGGCACUCACAAGGGACUGCCGCCGAUAAGGCGGAGGAAGGUGGGGAUGACGUCAAAUCAUCAUGCCCCUUAUGUCCUGGGCUACACACGUGCUACAAUGGGCGGUACAACGGGAUGCGAAGCCGCGAGGUGGAGCCAAACCCUGAAAACCGUUCGUAGUUCGAAUUGUAGGCUGCAACUCGCCUACAUGAAGCCGGAAUUGCUAGUAAUCGCGGAUCAGCAUGCCGCGGUGAAUACGU